rnacentral:rRNA from 1 species
UGGGGAAUUUUGGACAAUGGACGCAAGUCUGAUCCAGCCAUGCCGCGUGCGGGAAGAAGGCCUUCGGGUUGUAAACCGCUUUUGUCAGGGGAGAAACGAGUUUCUCUAAUACAGAGACUUAAUGACGGUACCUGAAGAAUAAGCACCGUCUAACUGCGUGCCAGCAGCCGCGGUAAUACGUAGGGUGCGAGCGUUAAUCGGAAUUACUGGGCGUAAAGCGUGCGCAGGCGGUUAUAUAAGACAGAUGUGAAAUCCCCGGGCUCAACCUGGGAACUGCAUUUGUGACUGCAUGGCUAGAGUACGGUAGAGGGGGAUGGAAUUCCGCGUGUAGCAGUGAAAUGCGUAGAUAUGCGGAGGAACACCGAUGGCGAAGGCAAUCCCCUGGACCUGUACUGACGCUCAUGCACGAAAGCGUGGGGAGCAAACA